ACUCCUACGGGAGGCAGCAGUGGGGAAUAUUUGCACAAUGGGCGCAAGCCUGAUGCAGCCAUGCCGCGUGUAUGAAGAAGGCCUUCGGGUUGUAAAGUACUUUCAGCAGUGAGGAAGGUGGGUAUGUUAAUAGCAUACUCAUUUGACGUUAGCUGCAGAAGAAGCACCGGCUAACUCCGUGCCAGCAGCCGCGGUAAUACGGAGGGUGCGAGCGUUAAUCGGAAUUACUGGGCGUAAAGCGCAUGCAGGUGUUUGUUAAGUCAGAUGUGAAAGCCCGGGGCUCAACCUCGGAAUUGCAUUUGAAACUGGCAAACUAGAGUACUGUAGAGGGGGGUAGAAUUUCAGGUGUAGCGGUGAAAUGCGUAGAGAUCUGAAGGAAUACCGGUGGCGAAGGCGGCCCCCUGGACAGAUACUGACACUCAGAUGCGAAAGCGUGGGGAGCAAACAGGAUUAGAUACCCUGGUAGGCUCU
rnacentral:rRNA from 1 species